rnacentral:rRNA from 1 species
GAUGAACGCUGGCGGCGUGCCUAAUACAUGCAAGUCGAGCGAACGGACGAGAAGCUUGCUUCUCUGAUGUUAGCGGCGGACGGGUGAGUAACACGUGGAUAACCUACCUAUAAGACUGGGAUAACUUCGGGAAACCGGAGCUAAUACCGGAUAAUAUUUUGAACCGCAUGGUUCAAAAGUGAAAGACGGUCCUGCUGUCACUUAUAGAUGGAUCCGCGCUGCAUUAGCUAGUUGGUAAGGUAACGGCUUACCAAGGCAACGAUGCAUAGCCGACCUGAGAGGGUGAUCGGCCACACUGGAACUGAGACACGGUCCAGACUCCUACGGGAGGCAGCAGUAGGGAAUCUUCCGCAAUGGGCGAAAGCCUGACGGAGCAACGCCGCGUGAGUGAUGAAGGUCUUCGGAUCGUAAAACUCUGUUAUUAGGGAAGAACAUAUGUGUAAGUAACUGUGCACAUCUUGACGGUACCUAAUCAGAAAGCCACGGCUAACUAUGUG